GACGAACGCUGGCGGCGUGCCUAAUACAUGCAAGUUGAGCGCUGAAGGUUGGUACUUGUACCAACUGGAUGAGCAGCGAACGGGUGAGUAACGCGUGGGGAAUCUGCCUUUGAGCGGGGGACAACAUUUGGAAACGAAUGCUAAUACCGCAUAAAAACUUUAAACACAAGUUUUAAGUUUGAAAGAUGCAAUUGCAUCACUCAAAGAUGAUCCCGCGUUGUAUUAGCUAGUUGGUGAGGUAAAGGCUCACCAAGGCGAUGAUACAUAGCCGACCGGAGAGGGUGAUCGGCCACAUUGGGACUGAGACACGGCCCAAACUCCUACGGGAGGCAGCAGUAGGGAAUCUUCGGCAAUGGACGAAAGUCUGACCGAGCAACGCCGCGUGAGUGAAGAAGGUUUUCGGAUCGUAAAACUCUGUUGGUAGAGAAGAACGUUGGUGAGAGUGGAAAGCUCAUCAAGUGACGGUAACUACCCAGAAAGGGACGGCUAACUACGUG
rnacentral:rRNA from 1 species